rnacentral:rRNA from 1 species
AGCGAACGUUUGCGGCGGGCCUAACACAUGCAAGUCGAACGGGUUGGCAACAACCAGUGGCGCACGGGUGCGUAACACGUAGGUAAUCUACCCUCAAGUUCGGGAUAACGAUCUGAAAGGAUCGCUAAUACCGGAUGUGUUCCGAAAGGAAGAAAGACCCGCAAGGGUCGCUAGAGGACGAGCCUGCGGCCCAUCAGCUAGUUGGUGAGGUAAUGGCUCACCAAGGCUAAGACGGGUAGCUGGUCUGAGAGGAUGAUCAGUCACACUGGAACUGAGACACGGUCCAGACUCCUACGGGAGGCAGCAGUGGGGAAUAUUGCGCAAGUGGGCGAAAGCCUGACGCAGCCACGCCGCGUGAGCGAUGAAGGCCUC